rnacentral:tRNA from 1 species
GCUAGCUUAGUGGGUAGAGAAUAGGGCUUGCGACCACAAGGUCCCACGUUCAAAUCUUUGCAGAGGCA